GAUGAACGCUGGCGGCGUGCUUAACACAUGCAAGUCGAACGGUGAACGAGGGAGCUUGCUCCCUCCGGAUCAGUGGCGAACGGGUGAGUAACACGUGAGCAAUCUGCCCUGGACUCUGGGAUAAGCGUUGGAAACGACGUCUAAUACCGGAUACGAGACGUGGGGGCAUCCCCAACGCCUGGAAAGAACUUCGGUCCAGGAUGAGCUCGCGGCCUAUCAGGUAGUUGGUGAGGUAACGGCUCACCAAGCCUACGACGGGUAGCCGGCCUGAGAGGGUGACCGGCCACACUGGGACUGAGACACGGCCCAGACUCCUACGGGAGGCAGCAGUGGGGAAUAUUGCACAAUGGGCGCAAGCCUGAUGCAGCAACGCCGCGUGAGGGACGACGGCCUUCGGGUUGUAAACCUCUUUUAGCAGGGAAGAAGCGAAAGUGACGGUACCUGCAGAAAAAGCACCGGCUAACCACGUGCCAGCCACCGCGGUAAUAC
rnacentral:rRNA from 1 species